rnacentral:rRNA from 1 species
GCAAGUCGAGCGAGAAGAUUAUGAUUAAGCCUUCGGGUGAGAGAUUAAUUGGAAAGCGGCGGACGGGUGAGUAACGCGUGAGUAACCUGCCCAAUACAAAGGGAUAGCCAUUGGAAACGAUGAUUAAUACCUGAUAACACAUAGACAUCACAUGUUGUUUAUGUCAAAGAUUUAUCGGUAUUGGAUGGACUCGCGUCUGAUUAGCUAGUUGGUGAGGUAACGGAGCACCAAGGCGACGAUCAGUAGCCGAUCUGAGAGGGUGAUC